CAGUCGCCACGGUAAUACGAAGGGUGCAAGCGUUAAUCGGAAUUACUGGGCGUAAAGCGUGCGCAGGCGGUUUGUUAAGACAGAUGUGAAAUCCCCGGGCUCAACCUGGGAACUGCAUUUGUGACUGGCAAGCUAGAGUGUGGCAGAGGGGGGUGGAAUUCCGCGUGUAGCAGUGAAAUGCGUAGAUAUGCGGAGGAACACCGAUGGCGAAGGCAGCCCCCUGGGCCAACACUGACGCUCAUGCACGAAAGCGUGGGGAGCAAACAGGAUUAGAGACCCCUGUAGUCCCUGUCUCUUAUAC
rnacentral:rRNA from 1 species